UGUGUGAAGUCUGGGCCGGGGUAGAUAUUUUGACCCGGGGGGGGAGGGGUCGGAGGCCGGAGCAGGGUCCCCCAACACCACCGUUCCCGCGAGUGGCGGGCAGGAGAGGCGAGAGGCCGGACCAUCCCCUUGGCCACCUCCACCGAGGCAGGUUGCCUCAGCUCAGCCAUCCCAUUGCCACAGAGGGUAGCCAAGGGAAAUGCAGCAGAAGAUAUCAGUGUUGAAAAGCCCACCCUAGGAAGGCCAAAGACCCAGUGAGAUCCUGUAGCAGAAUCUCUAAUGUGUACACAUAUCCAAGAAUGGAACAGCCUCACAUAUAAGUAACUGCUGGAACAGCAGAAAGCAUGGUUUCUUCUAAACUGAGGAUUGUAUUUAGAGCACGCCAAAUCAAGACACAGUGUCUUACAGAAUACCAGAAAAUGGAAGUGUCUUCAUUAAAUAGCCCCUAAGUAAUUUAAUUUCAUGCGUAAGCGCUAUUUUUUUUAAAGAGUUCAAAGGAAGCCAGAUCCCUGUGUUGAAAUACGUAUUCCUGUUGCUCGCAUACUUGUCACAGUCUUGUGCUUUAUAGCCCUAGAUGCUGUACCCCCCGUCGGGGAAUCUUUAAAAGUGUGGCUCCUGGCACAGCUGCAUCAGAAUCACGUGUGUUGAUGACUAAAGAUUCCCGGGCCCCAAGAGUCUGGAGGUGUGGGACUGGGGAUCUGACUUUUUAAGCAGUUGACCUGCUUCUUCUGCUCACGACUGUCUGAGAACAGCCGCCCUCUGCUCUGUCUGGAAAGACAACACUAGUUAUAAGAGU